CCUACGGGAGGCAGCAGUGAGGAAUAUUGGUCAAUGGGCGGAAGCCUGAACCAGCCAAGUAGCGUGCAGGAUGACGGCCCUACGGGUUGUAAACUGCUUUUAUACGGGAAUAACGCGCCUUACGUGUAGGGCUUUGCAUGUACCGUAUGAAUAAGGACCGGCUAAAUCCGUGCCAGCAGCCGCGGUAAUACGGAAGGUCCGGGCGUUAUCCGGAUUUAUUGGGUUUAAAGGGAGCGUAGGCGGCAUGUCAAGUCCGCUGUGAAAUGUCCGGGCUCAACCCGGGCCUUGCAGCGCCAACUGGCGGGCUUGAGUCCGCGAGAAGCAGGCGGAAUUCGUGGUGUAGCGGUGAAAUGCUUAGAUAUGACGAAGAACCCCGAUUGCGAAGGCAGCUUGCUGGAUCGGAACUGACGCUGAUGCUCGAAAGCGCGGGUAUCGAACAGGAUUAGAUACCCUAGUAGUC
rnacentral:rRNA from 1 species